UAAAGUUGGCGAUUGGUGACAAAAAUUAUUUUGUAUUUCACUCCUGAAAAGAAAAAUAAAAUGAAAAGUUUUGUUGAGAGAGAGAGAGAGAGCUCUCUGAAGCAGAUAGAAGAAACGACAUAGUGGGAAGAAGUCGGCCGGAAGGGGAACGACGGAGAGAGAGACAAAAGAAAUGUACUCACAGUCUCAGCAAAGAAGAAAACACUCUCCCUUCAACCAGAUGAAACAAAUGGUGGAGAUUUACAUCAAACUUGCUGAACUAGAAUCAAAGAGAGAGGAUACAAACAAAAAAGUUACUCUGCCAAGAGAAAUUCAUAGUGUUCAACAGCUUGAACUUGUAAGUAUUCCACUAUGAUUAGGACUAUGAGUAUCAUUAUUUUGUUUCUACAAUGACUGCUGACCAUUGGUUGUUACUUUAAUAGCAUUCUCAUCAUGAAAAAUGGUAUUGAGGUGGGAUUGUUUUGAUGAUUCCAUAUGCCAGAAAUCAUAGCUUAGAUAUUAUCAAAAUUUCUAUUGAAUUUUUUAACAAUCAGGAUACCAGGAUACUCGAGAAAACCACACCAACGUGGUAGUUGAUACACAAUCCAGCUAUCAGGCUAUAUGUAACCAAACUUAUUUUUUAUUUCAAAAAUAAAAUUUUAAACCGUAAGUUUAUAGUUAGCUAUCUAAUGUAGUUCUUCCUUCCAGGCUUCAGAUUGCAUUGUAAAGUGACACAAAAUCCGUCAGUGGUAGGGUUUACAGAGGAUGCUCUUUUCUAAUUGGCACUCUUGAGUGACCUAAUGUGCAGAGUCUCACAUAACUUAGUCAAAUUGUUAAUCAGAUUCAUUGGCAUGCAAAUGUUUUCCACUCUCUUGAUAUUAAUUUUUAUAGGAGCUGUUAUAAUGCUUCAUGGUCUUAGGCUAUUCAAUAUGGUCAUGACUCAAAGGAGGAUGGUCCUCGACCCUCGGGCCACCAAUCGCGCAUUUCAAUGCGUGAUGGCCAAAGAGGCCAAGUUAUGUAUUUUAAUGUCAAAUGAAAUGCAAACCAAAUAAACACAUAAGGCCCAACCUCUAUCACUUGAUCAAGAGACAAGGCAUGCAUGCUCAAUGCAAUGCAACCUAGACAUGUGAGCUAAGUAUGCAAUCAUGAGCAUGAAAGCAAGUAACGUGUACUAAGAACACAACCUAAACAAACAAACAUGCAAGGCAUGUAACAACAUGUGCAAGCUAACAAGCAUGCAAUAUGCAAUGCGAACAUGCAAACAUGCAAGACACGCA